rfam:Stegodyphus mimosarum contig731, whole genome shotgun sequence.
GCCUUCGUGGUGUAGUUGUCAGCACGCUGGGCGGGUAUUCCAAAGGUCAGUGGUUCGAAUCCCGGUGAGGGCA